rnacentral:rRNA from 1 species
AUUGAACGCUGGCGGCAGGCUUAACACAUGCAAGUCGAGCGAGCGGCGGACGGGUGAGUAAUGUCUGGGAAACUGCCUGAUGGAGGGGGUUAACUACUGGAAACGUUAGCUAAUCCCGCAUACCAUCAGUUGUGCCCAGAUGGGCUUAGCUUGUGGGUGGGGUAAUGGCUCACCUAGGCGACGAUCCCUAGCUGGUCUGAGAGGAUGACCGGCCACACGGGAACUGAGACACGGUCCAGACUCCACCGGGGGGAAGCAGUGGGGAAUAUUGCACAAGGGGCGCAAGCCUGAUGAAGCCAGGCGGCGUGUGUGAAGAAGGCCUUCGGGUUGUAAAGCACGUUGAGCGAGGAGGCGGUACUCGCAGAGAAAGCAACGGCUAACUCCGUGCCAGCAGCCGCGGUAAUAC